AGGUGCUGCAGCCCUCCGAGCAUCAUCUGGAUUCACCCCAGCAGGUCCAUGUCCUUGUUCUAUCCUCUGCAGCUUCUCCUGUAUUGCUGGUACAUCACAAAAAAGUAAUUGUAAGCCAAUAAUCAUUGCCAGGAGCUCCUUCCCAGUGAUUCCAGUGCUUCUGCACCCUGGUCAUGACACGAUUAUUGCCACACCACAUGGGCAUCAGGUGUCUCCUCAGACCAGAGUGCACAGGAUUCAGCAAUCCCUUUCAUUUUGGAUGAGGAUUCCAGGUGGACUUUAAGGGUUGUUGGGUCUUUCUGCAGCUGGAAGCACAAGCCCCUUAAAUUCUGCACUCUCCUUGGUGCAGCCACAGUUCCUGAACUGGGAAAAGGAGACACGACCAGAUGCUUCCAGUGGGGGAGAGGUGGCACAAAGGAAUCAGUGCAUGAGAUUGCCAUGGAGAAGGCUGGGGAAGAUGUUUGGGCCCUUAUUAAAACUACAUGGACAUAAAUACAGAUGCAGGAGUUCAGCUUGAGGUCUAUGUUUUGUGCCAGUAUUGCCUGACUGGGUAAGAUUUUGCACUUCUUUAGUUUCCUGGAUAAUUUCAGGGUUUGGGUAUAUACUGGCUAAAGUGGUCAAGGAUUUGUGGGGUUUGGGAUAAGAAAAUGUUGGAACUGUUGCAACAGAAUGUUUACAUUAAAAGAAUAAAUGCAAAAGUAAUUUCUGUAUAACAAGGAAGAAUUAUCCCCAAAGAGUGCUUGAAGAAUAAUUGAUGACUACAAUCAGCCACUAAAAUAGCUCUUCAGCACAGUUAGAUUGUAAAUAUACCUCCAUGACUAACUUAAUUAGAACAAUUACCAGGGGACUUGCCUUGGCUUAAAAUAAUAUGUCCCUUUUUAUGACUUUUGGAGACAGGUGAACUUGAUCUUCUUGUCUUCUCUAAUGCUCACAUCCAGUAACAUAUUUGGGACAAUUAGGUCUUUAAUCACCUAAAGAAAACAUAUCAUCACUCACUCUGGCAGCAGAGAACUGUUCCCAGCACAGAGAUUGUUCUGGUGUGCAACUCAAGGGCUUAAUUUAAAAAAUGGACCUGAAUGAUACAGAUGCACUUUUGUGAAAGGAAAACAUCAGGACAUUAUGACAUGGCUUCAGAAAAAUAACUUCCCCUCCUCUGUUGGUGUCGUUGGUGUCAGUGGGAGGAGCAGGAUGUGAUAAUUGGACAGGAUCUGAUAUCCAGCUAUCCAGGCAAAGCACAGCUGGGGAGAGAUGAUUAGGAGAUGCAGUGAGGUGUUAGAUGUGCUCAGUCCUUCUCAAAGGAAAAGAGCUCCACUUCUGCCUUCUUCCCAUCUUGUUCCUGACUCUGUGGUCUUGCUGCUUACCUUGGAUCAUCUCUGGUGCUCAUCAGAGCCAGUACAGCUCAUUAUUCCCACAAAACACCAGAAAGUUCUCUUACUGGGCUGGCAACAAGGACUGGCUCAGAGAAGAGCCCACAAGCCCAGGGCAGUGCAAGGAGAGGUGGGAGCCAGUUCCAGGGUGAGGAUGACCCUUCCCUGGCCAUGAGGAGGGCUCAGCUGCCCAUCCAGCAUCAGCCUUAGCCAUUCCAGAGUGUUUUUGCCAGUGCAGAGGUUGGAUCUGGCUCAUCUUCAGGCACUGGCUUCUUUUAAGUUGAUUGUUUAAAGAAAAAGAGUAAAUGAAUGGCUUUCUCAUCACCCCUGCCAUCAGUUUUUACUGAGUGCUUUCAGGCUGAUGAAACUCUUCUGUCAAAGAGAUUAGUGGGGAAAAUCCUACCUGUUAUAUAACACUCAUUUUGGGGAAAAAACACUCUUUAUGAGAAACACAAUGCUUAUUUCCUCCAGUGAGAUUAACAUUGGUUUUGUUUUCCUUUUUUUUGUUACUAGCAGUUCAAUGUUUACCUUCAAGGCUCUCUGAAGGGAGUUGCCCACAGAGCCACAGUUGAACUUGCUUUCUGUUUCAGCCACCUCUUGAAGUCCUUUCCAGGCAGAAGGACAGGUCUCACCUGGCCCCAGGUGAAACCUCAGUCAGACACAGCUUGAGAGAAAUCACCAGCAGCUUUCCUGAAUUGGUGGUUUGACCAUCCCAGUGGCAAUAUCCAUUUACAGCUCCCACUUCUUUUCACUGUGUUUGAAAGACAAAUUCAGUUCCCCAGACAGGUGUGUGGUGUGGUCACAUGGAGGGUUUUGCUGACCUCCUUAAGAGGAGCUGCAGGGCAGGGUGAGAAAUCCCAUCCAAGGCUGUGGCUUGAGCUGCCCUUUAGUGAACAGCCUGGAAAAACGAGUCAGUCCCCCCCACACCUCCUUCCACUUCAGCUUCCCACCCAGGUGUAAAAAUGUGCUGGUGUUGCUCCCUGCCAGCUCCCAGCUGUGUAAAGGACAUCUGCCUUAUGAAGGGAAACACAGAUCCUUCUCCCAUGUAACACCUUUUACAGAGGUUCACAGACCUGGGGAAGCAUCUCUGGCUUGGCUGUGAAUGUCAUGAGGUGGAUGUGCAUUUUUAACAUGAGACUUUUGAAUUCACUGUCAUCAACUGAAACAGGAGAAUGGAGAGUGCAGUUGCAAUGUUUAUUUGAGCAGUGAGGCUACUAUAGAGCUCAUGGGGUCUGCCAGUGCUUGUGUUUGGCUGAUUGCUGAUAGCUAUGCAGAUUUUAUGUGAAUUCAAGAUAGCAGAAGACAAUGAGGUGCUGUUGAAAAUCCAGACAGAAAGGUUAUUGGGAUUGGCCAAGAGUUGUUUGGAGUGAAUACCCAAAGAGUGCUCAGCUCUGUACAUAACUUCGUUUUCAAUGUGCUUCCUUAAGAAACAUUUACUACCACUGCCCCUCUGUCACAUGGAAGAGGUGCUGUUUAGUUUCUAUCACUCAAAACUGAUAAAGUGUCCACAAGCAAGGAUGCUUCUUUAGAAAGCCCUUUUUUGCAGCUGGUUGUAAAACAGCAGUUUUGUUGUCCUUGCAAGAUUUUAAUAGGGAGGAAGUUAGAAAUAUAAAUACCCCAUCCAUAGCCUAUUUAUUCUGCUCAUUUCCUAUUUCCUUGCUCAGAAAUUGUCUCGGGGUCACUUGAGGCUGUAACUGGAGAUGCACAGCAGCUCUCACCAGGCUGCCUUGCCUCCUGCGGGCUCAGAUUUGCCACAUUCAGAGUGAAUCAAAUUGUUCCAGAAAAUUACAUGCAGUCCCAAAAACAGUUGUGUACAGGUAUGGGGAAUCUGAUCUGUCCUGAAUAUUUAUAGUAGUAGUAGUAAUUUGUUUGUUUUCUUGUGCUUGUCUUGCACAGCUACAGAGGCAUUUGUUCUCCAGGGCCCACAAUAGCUGGAUGGGGAUAGCAGAGAUUGCUGUGAUAAUCUGUUUGCAAAUAAUGAUUAGCAGAACAAUGCACUAAAGCUUUGAAGAUUCCCACAAAGAAUUCAGCAUGUCUGAAUUAACCACAGGAAGGACUGGGGUCUGGGUCUGGGGGAGGGCUACGGCAGCAGGAGAUGGAAGCUGGCGGGAGGAGAUUUUUGGUAUGAAGAAAAGCAGAUGUGAACACAGGGUUUGUCCAUACUCUCUUCCCAA